AUGUCGCUAGAUCCCAUCCUCGAUCUCCGGCCAUCCUCUGCUCCGACUCGUCCUCGUCAGGCUCGUCGUCACCCGUCUUCGCGUGAGCAGGAGCUCUCGAGCACGCCCCUGCCCGGCUCCUCUCGAGCAGCCGCUCUCAAGCACGGCCGUGGCUUGCGGCUCUCUCCGUGCUGGUCUCGUCCAGCUCCGUUCGGCCGCCGCCGCUACAUUGUCGGGCCGCAGCCGCCCCGCCCGAGCGGUUUCCUUAUGUCCUCUUCGUGCUAUGUCGCCGUCCCUCGGUGCUCGGUGAUCUUCGAUGGCACCAACUAUGCCGAGUUUGCGGGGUUCAUGCGCAUUCAUAUGCGUGGUCUCCUUCUAUGGGGCGUUCUCUCUGACGAGGUCUCCUGUCCGCCAUGCCCUGUUGCUCCUGUGGCUCCUACCCCGCCGGUGCCGCCGGUCCUUGCUCCUGAUGCUUCUCAGGCUAAUCGCGAUGCAACCAAGGCGCUUGAUAAUGCUGCGGUUGAUGCUUAUGAUCAACAGGUAUCUGCCUAUUCAGAUGCUCUUGCUGUCUACCGGGAUGAUCUGGCUGCUUACACUCAGUGGUGCAAUGAUGAUGCCCGUGCUGCUGCUGUUCUCACUGCGAGUGUCCUUCCUCAGUUUGCGUCAGAGUUCAUAGGCCUCGGCACCGUUGCAGCGAUGUGGUCUUAUCUCUGUCAGCGUUAUCAGCCCUCUGGUGAUGCUCUUUACUUAUCUGUGGUGCGACAGGAGCAUGCUCUUCAGCAGGGUGACUUGACUGUUGAUGAGUUCUAUUCACAGUGCUCUGCCAUCUGGCGCCAGCUUGACUCAUUGCGGACAGUUGUUUGUGGAACUUGCCGUUGCUGUCAGACUACACGGUCUGACUUGGAGUUUCAGAGGGUUCAUGAGUUCUUAUCUCGUCUUCGAUCUGAGUUUGAGCCCAGACGUGCUCACUUGCUUGCUCGUGGUCGUGUUCCUCUCUCGGAGGUGCUUGCUGAGCUUCGUGCCGAGGAGACACGCCUUCGCUCUGCUGGGUUGCUUCUGGUUCCGUCAGUAUUGGCUGCCCGGGCUCCUGUGUCGUCUGCUCGCCUCACUGCUCCACCGCUCCUGCCUACUCCUCCAGGGGGGUGA
rnacentral:rRNA from 1 species